AUAAAGACCAGGUUGAACUGCACCAGCACGCAGGGCAGGAGGGCGAAGAGCAGGGUCAGCGCCUGCCAGAUGCGGUCCCCCGCCGAGCGAAACACUGACAUCUGCAGACAAGUUGUUUACUUGCCUACUUCUUAAAAGCUACAGUAAAGUUUGCAACAGGGGACCCAGCAGGACACAAAACAGCAAUGUCUUCUGGAUGGAUGCGAGAAGUCCUGUAUUACAGACAUGAUUAAGCAGGUCUGCUGCACAGUCACCACAGUGGACUGGAGCAAUGCAAAGGAAAACCUUGACCAGGGAAUGAGAAAGAUUAUCAUAAAUGGGAAGGAAGCAGAGGCUAGAGACUGAUGAAGGAAAAAAUGAGAGGUACAGUAAAAAACAAAUGAAAAAUGCAUGAAACACCUCCAUGCCAGGCAUGGUGAGGAAGUGCAGACAAGAGGAAAAUGGAUCAAUCAGAACCAGGAGGGAAAUGCUGCUCCAGCCAGACAAGACAGACAUUAACAAAUCACACAGAGACAAAGCAAAAUGUGUUGUUUUUUUUUCCCCAGGACCACAAA